rnacentral:rRNA from 1 species
GGCGAGUGGCGAACGGGUGAGUAAUACAUCGGAACGUGUCCUGGAGUGGGGGAUAGCCCGGCGAAAGCCGGAUUAAUACCGCAUACGCUCUGUGGAGGAAAGCGGGGGAUCUUUCGGGACCUCGCGCUCAAGGGGCGGCCGAUGGCAGAUUAGGUAGUUGGUGGGGUAAAGGCCUACCAAGCCGACGAUCUGUAGCUGGUCUGAGAGGACGACCAGCCACACUGGGACUGAGACACGGCCCAGACUCCUACGGGAGGCAGCAGUGGGGAAUUUUGGACAAUGGGCGCAAGCCUGAUCCAGCAAUGCCGCGUGUGUGAAGAAGGCCUUCGGGUUGUAAAGCACUUUUGUCCGGAAAGAAAACCUCUGGGUUAAUACCCUGGGGGGAUGACGGUACCGGAAGAAUAAGCACCGGCUAACUACGUGCCAGCAGCCGCGGUAAUACGUAGGGUGCGAGCGUUAAUCGGAAUUACUGGGCGUAAAGCGUGCGCAGGCGGUGAUGUAAGACCGAUGUGAAAUCCCCGGGCUUAACCUGGGAACUGCAUUGGUGACUGCAUCGCUCGAGUAUGGCAGAGGGGGGUAGAAUUCCACGUGUAGCAGUGAAAUGCGUAGAGAUGUGGAGGAAUACCGAUGGCG